rnacentral:rRNA from 1 species
GACAGAGGGGGCAAGCGUUGCUCGGAAUUACUGGGCGUAAAGGGCGCGUAGGCGGGCUGGCAAGUCGGUCGUGAAAUCCCUCGGCUCAACUGAGGUACGUCGAUCGAUACUGCCGUUCUUGAGGGUUGCAGAGGAGACUGGAAUUCCCGGUGUAGCGGUGAAAUGUGUAGAGAUCGGGAGGAACACCGGUGGCGAAGGCGGGUCUCUGGGCAGUGACUGACGCUGAGACGCGAAAGCGUGGGGAGCAAACAGG